rnacentral:sRNA from 1 species
UGACUCUAAUGGAAAAAUACAGUGAACUC